UUUUAUUUUGGUAUUUAAUGUUUACAUUCUGUUUAGUAAAUGUUACUUUUAUGUUGAUUUCCUAGGCUGUGAAUAGAAGAUCAAGUUCUGGUGUUUUGAAUAAAAAAACUUCUUCUGAAAUUGUUGAUACUAAAGAAGAACAAGCUGAUGAGUGCAAUAAGCCUGUGAAGAAUAAGUCUCCUUCUUCUGCUGUUAAGAAAAAAGCUUCUCUUCAGUCACCUAAAUCUGAAGUAGUUAUUGGUGAUCCCAGUCAGAUGUGGUCUCCCCGAUGGAAUCAUACUCAAUAUUCUUCUACAAGGGUUGAUCACUGUAUGAAGCAGAAAGUUGUGGAUAAUUUGAAAAGGAAUUUGUCUGAGGAGCAACUUAAACUGUUUAAGGAGACUUCUUUUGGUUUUGUUUUGGAUUUGCCUGCUUUUUAGUUUGCAUGGUCAAGUGAUACACUCUCUCCUGUCAAGACAGCUUAAUCAUCCGCAACGAGACGAACUUUGGAUUGGUGUUAACAAUUUAAGAAUUAGAUUCAGCAUAGAGGAAUUUGCUGUGCUAACUGGUCUGAAUUGUGUUGGGGAAAUUCAGAAGAUUGUUGAUGUUGAUAAGACUAAUUCUUUGGUCGAGAAGUAUUUUGUUGGCGUAUCCAAGUUGAACAGACAGUCCGUUACAGAGUGCUUUUUGUCUAAGCGAUGGGAGUCGGACGAAGAUGCUGUUAAAAUUGCUUUUUUGUAUGUGUUAGAAAUAUAUUUUCUGUCUGCUGUUGAUGUUACUUUGGUGGAGCGGCACCAUUUAGACAUUAUUGAUUCCGGGGACUAUAACUCAUACCCGUGGGGUAAAGAA